CCCACGUUCCAAACAAGCGAACACAUUCCCCCUGGAGUGUCGGUCGCACGGCCCCAACUCAAAUGAAUUCCGGGUAACCCCACCAGCCGGGCAUUUGGUUUAAUUUAACCAACAUGAAGACCCUUACAUGGGCUUGAAAUGUAGAGGAAUUUGGUUGAAAUAUGGCGGCUAGCGAUGGGCUUUAUAUAGGUGCUGCAUGACUGUCGUCAGCUCGUGUCGUGAGAUGUUGGGUUAAUUCCGCAACGAGCGCAACCCUUAUCCCAGUUGUCCCAUUUAGUUGAGUACUCUGGGAAACCGCCUCGAUAACGGGGAGGAAGGUGGGGAGACGUCAAGUCCUCAUGGCCUUUAUGUCCAGGGCUACACACUGCUCAAUGGCCGGUCCAAAAAAUCGCGAACCCGUGAUGGGGAGCCAAUCGGAAAACGCCUUCUUCAAUUCGGAUGAAGUCUGCAACUGACUUCAUGAAGCUGAAUCGGUA
rnacentral:rRNA from 1 species